rnacentral:rRNA from 1 species
GGAUGCGAUCAUACCAGCACUAAAGCACCGGAUCCCAUCAAAACUCCGAAGUUAAGCGUGCUUGGGCGAGAGUAGUACUAGGAUGGGUGACCUCUUGGGAAGUCAUCGUGUUGCAUUCC